CCUACGGGUGGCAGCAGUGAGGAAUAUUGGUCAAUGGGCGAGAGCCUGAACCAGCCAAGUCGCGUGAAGGAUGACGGCCCUACGGGUUGUAAACUUCUUUUGUCAGGGAGCAAUUGAGUCCACGUGUGGUCUUAGCGAGAGUACCUGAAGAAAAAGCAUCGGCUAACUCCGUGCCAGCAGCCGCGGUAAUACGUAGGGGGCAAGCGUUAUCCGGAUUUACUGGGUGUAAAGGGAGCGUAGACGGCAGUGCAAGUCUGGAGUGAAAGGCGGGGGCUCAACCCCCGGACUGCUCUGGAAACUGUACGGCUGGAGUGCAGGAGAGGUAAGUGGAAUUCCUAGUGUAGCGGUGAAAUGCGUAGAUAUUAGGAGGAACACCAGUGGCGAAGGCGGCUUACUGGACUGUAACUGACGUUGAGGCUCGAAAGCGUGGGGAGCAAACAGGAUUAGAUACCCGUGUAGUC
rnacentral:rRNA from 1 species